GUAAAUGUCUAUUAUAAAUAAAAAUGUCUGUUGUAAAUGUCUAUUGCAAAUAAAAAUGUCUAUUGUGAAUAAAUUGUCUAUAGUGAAUGUCUUUUGAAAUGUUCUGUAAAGCUCCUUGAGACAAUGUCUGUAAAUGUCUACUGUAAAGAAAAAUGUCUAUUGUAAAUGUUAAUUGUAAAGAAAAAUGUCUACUGUAAAUGUCUAUUGUAAAUAAAAAUGUCUACUGUAAAUGUCUACUGUAAAUGUCUACUGUAAAUAAAAAUGUCUAUUGCAAAUGUCAACUGUAAAUGUCUACUGUAAAUAUCUAUUGUAAAGAAAGUGUCUAUUGUAAAGAAAAAUGUCUACUGUAAAUGUCUAUUGUAAAUGUCUACAUUAAAUGUCAACUGUAAAGAAAAAUGUCUAUUGUAAAUGUCUACUGUAAAGUUCAUUUGUAAAUUUUAGAUUAAUCUCCUUUGGGACAAUGUCCAAUGUCUGUUGUUAAAGGAAUGCACUACACAACAUGGUUAACGCAACAUGAAUCUAAAAAUAUAAACAUGGAACCUUCUGGAUUUUCCAGUGUCCUCUAUAGAAGAUGAAUCUACCACGACAGGUCUCUGUCAGGUUGAAAAGCCACUCUAACUAUCUAUUUCUACCUCCAUACCAUAUAUAUAUAUAUAUAUAUACAUGACUCUGAACGGUUCUUUGGGUACACUUCAAGAAGAGGAACCAAAUUCAGCACAGGUACUUUUUUUCUUACAGUUACAGUUUGGCUCACUUGGCAGUGGAAAUGAUGCUGUGAGAUCACGGGUUUGUUCCACAUCAAUAAACCCUCCUUACAUCACCCAGGACCCGCACGUGUCACCGGCGGAUAUUUACAGAAUUUAAAGAUGUUUUUAGUGACACGGACUUCCAUUUCUCUUCCAAUUUCACCCAGAAUCACUUCUACUAAUAUCGGACAUAGCUUUGUGCCCACACACAC
ensembl:lncRNA